AUGCACUGGGUAUCCUGGCAAAACCUUGCGACACCAAAAUGCAAGGGUGGUCUGGGAUUCCGAGAUUUGCAUCAGUUUAACCUUGCACUACUUGAAAAACACGGAUGGCGUUUUAUGACAAAGCCGGAUUCCUUAUAUGCAAGAGUGAUGAAAGGUAGAUAUUACCCUGACACCGACUUCAUGCAAGCAACAUGCCCCCGAUCAGCGUCGGCUACUUGGCGGGCAAUUAUUGCAGGAAGAGAAACACUUGAUGCUGGUCUUAUAAAGCGAGUUGGAGAUGGAACUUCCAUCUCAGUUUGGGACGAUAAAUGGAUACCAGGAACGAGUUCUAUGAAACCGAUGGUAAGACCAGCCAACACCACUGUUGAGAGAGUUGCAGAUUUACUGGAUCCACAGAUUGGUAGAUGGAAUGAGCAGUUGGUUUAUGACACGUUCAUUGCAAGUGAUGCACAGGCAAUUCUUAAUAUUCCUUUAAGCAUGAAUGGCCGUGCGGAUUCCCUUGCGUGGGCGUUUGAGCGAUCAGGUUUGUACACUAUCAAAUCGGCGUACCGUAUUCUUAUGACUCAGAAAGAAAGUGCGGCUCUCGAGGAAGGAAUGGUUACGGAAACGGAAACUUCAAAUGAAGAAAAACAGAUGUGGCAAGCUCUGUGGAAGCUCAAUGUUGUUCCUAAAGUGCGUGUCUUCUGGUGGAGGGUUCUCCAAGGAAUCCUUCCUAACGAGACCACACUCAAGCGGCGACAUAUAGCAGAAGUUGAUGGAUGCAAAAUCUGUCAUACAAUGGGAGAAGAUUUGAAACACGUGUUGAUUCAUUGUGUGCACGCUGCUGGUUUUUGGGAUGCAGCGAGGGCAUGGUUCCAGAUUAAUCUUCCAAGUUUAAACCCUGCCACUUGGGCGAGGGAUAUUUUAUGUGAUCAGCGGAUCCCGGCCGGACAAAGAUCGGCCCAUCAUUAUCACCAUCAUGUGGAACAUUUGGCAUUCUAG
rnacentral:rRNA from 1 species